UCUAUAAGACGCUAAUAUUAUAACCUGUAUGUUUAUAAAACUUAAAAUAAUAAUGAGCGUAUCAUAUUAUCACCGAGCGGGAAAACUCGAUCGAUAGAUAGAUCGAGCGGGAAAACUCAAUCGAUAGAUAGAACGAGCGGGAACACUCGAUACACAGAAGCCCUCCCUCCUGCCUCCUCCUUGCGUCCCUAUUUCUUCUGGCGGCGACUCCAAACCCUAAUUAAUGACAAAAACCAAAAAGAACAAGUGAAGAACACAGGCUAAAGAUGCAGCGAUUUCAGCUCACCUUGAUGGUAUAAUAGGAUGUUUUAGAAGAAUACAAAGGCUCCAAAAGGCUGAAAACAAGAAACAUGUCAUGCAAUCAUACCUUGAAGACAACGCAAAUGAUGCCCUUGGCAGAUCAAGAUUUGAAGAGGAAUUACUUUUGAAGAAAAAAGCUAAGAUCAUCAAAAAGAAAGGCUACUGUAGGCCUUUCGUUUGAGUGAUUCACAAGCUUAAAGUCGUCUGUAGAGAAUGGGUUAAGAGCCAUGUCUUUCCUAAGAUUAAAAAAAAGGUAAUGAAUUUAGGGGUUCAGGCCAAAUAUAUGCAUAGAGAGAAGGUUAGUAAUAAAUGAAUAGUUAGAUUAAGCUGGAUGGUAAACUUAGAAGUUUGAAAAUUGUGAAGUCUGAUGAUGAGUGAAAGUAGAACUGAUCAAACUUUAAUGGACAUUUUGUAGGAUGGUACAUGGUAAUAAGUUGCAUAUAUACACAUUUUUACCAUUACUUGAUGAAAUGGAAGAAAAAAAUGGAACAUGGUUGUUUUGGUUGA